GAAAACACAACAUGGAUGCACACAAACCAGAGAAGAGAACUUACAAAGUGCCUGAAGUGUUUGCAGUCGAAAAAUAGAUGCAUUUCAAGCCUUAUUGGUUUGAACCAGAGUCCUCCAUCAAACAGCGAAUGGGCUGAAGGUCCCUUGGGCGGAAGACACACAUUCAUAAUGGAGAAGAGGUCACAGACAUUCCUGCAUUUGGGAGUCCUGUUGAAGCGAAACAUAACGAGUUUUCGCUUGAACGUAAGAAAGUUGUACACAUCUGGGAUGGCAUGAGGGCAUCAUUUUCCUUGUUUUCGACGCAGCCUUGAAGUUGCACUCACAUACUCCUGCGGAUCCACCGCAAGUCUCAAUCACCUGACAGUUUAAACGGCCUGGAUCGCCUACUUGGAUUGACACAGACUGACCAUCAUGAAUCAGAGGAACUUUUGAUCCUGAUCCUGACGUUUUUGUUUCUGGCUGAUGGAAUACGCGCUUCAGAGGAAGAUGUUAGAUGAGCGCUUGACGGGAAGAAAACACUGGAUUUUCAUGAGAGCUCACAUCCCAGAUCUUCAGGGUCUUGUCGUCAGAAGCGGAGACCAGGAGGUUGGAGUCUGAGGACCAGGCCACAUCCGAGAUGCCCUGCAGAUGAGAGAAAAAUCAAGUCUCUUGACUCCCUCUAUAAAAUAUCAGCAG